CUGAGAAUCAGCGGCAUUAUGUACAGACUGGCACAAAGAAAAAAAAAGAGGGUAUAAUAAACAAGUGCAUAUAUAGAGAGCCUGUCAGACAGAAGCAACAUAUCGAAUAUAAAUCAGCCUAUCCCUUCACUCUUCGCUAAGCAAUGGCACAUAGGUUUUGAUCUGUUCACAAGAGCCCAAUGAGAACCCCGGAACCACAUCACACCAGCUCCUGGCCUUCA